rnacentral:rRNA from 1 species
UUGGAGGGCAAGUCUGGUGCCAGCAGCCGCGGUAAUUCCAGCUCCAAUAGCGUAUAUUAAAGUUGUUGCAGUUAAAAAGCUCGUAGUUGAAUUUCGGGAUUGACGUGAUGGUCAUGCCUUAAGGGGUAUGAACUGUUGCAGUUGAUUUCUCACCUUCUGGAGAAACUUGAUGUCCUUUAUUGGGUGUCUUGCGGAUCCAGGACCUUUACCUUGAAAAAAUUAGAGUGUUUAAAACAGGCAUUUUUGCUCGAAUACAUUAGCAUGGAAUAAUAGAAUAGGACGGCAUGGUUCUAUUUUGUUGGUUUCUAGGAUCACCGUAAUGAUUAAUAGGGAUAGUUGGGGGCAUUAGUAUUCAAUUGUCAGAGGUGAAAUUCUUGGAUUUAUUGAAGACUAACUACUGCGAAAGCAUUUGCCAAGGAUGUUUUCAUUAAUCAAGAACGAAAGUUAGGGGAUCGAAGACGAUCAGAUACCGUCGUAGUCUUAACCAUAAACUAUGCCGACUAGGAAUCAGACGAUGUUAAUUUUUUAAUGACUCGUUUGGCACCUUACGGGAAACCAAAGUGUUUGGGUUC